UGACAGGAAAGCCGUGAAGGGCGCUCUCAUACUCGUGCCGUUAUUGGGAGUUACUUGGUUGUUUGGUAUAUUUGCGUUCAGCAAAGCAACGACGUUUUUUUCCUAUAUGUUCGUAAUUUUCAACGGAAGUCAAGGACUUGCUAUAUUCCUGGUAUGCAUCGUGUUUAGUCCACAGGUGCAGGAUGAACUGAAGAAACAAAGGUGGAUGGGACGUUUUUUGAAGGUCAACUCAGUUGGCAGUGAGCAGGUACAAAGUCAAACUACAUCAUUUUGAAAAUGUAUCGGUUACUUCAUGACUUCAUGAAUGCAUACAGUUUGAAGAGGAAACUACGAAGAAUGACACGUCAACUUCAAUAACUUGAGUCGACACUAAACUCGAAUCGGUAUUAAACCAUUUUAAAGUAUGCUGUCAAAAAAAAAACACAUCAUAUUGUAACACUGUUGGGACUUGAUCAAAUAUUUACAAACUGUGAGGGACAAUAAUUAUUAUGGUGGACCCACUUUACUCGUAAAUUCAAAUAAUGUGGACUCAUUUUACGCACAAAUAUGAGAAAUCUAGUCCAUUUUCUUAAAAUUUUACAAAUUUUAAGCUAAAUAUGAGAAAUCUGGACUAAUUUUUAAAAAGUGGACUCCUUUUUCAAAAGGUGAACUUAUUUUAGGCAUGAAAUUGCAUCAUUUGGACCCAUUCUUUGUGGACCCAUUGCUGCUACGGCAUUGGACUUGAUAUAGGGCAUUAUAUCGACGUCUCAAUGAGUAAAAAAUAGGGGUUGUGAUUCAAAAAAUUGGCAAAAUGAUACAAACCUAUACAAUUAAUGAUGACCAAGUAUAUUACUGUAUGUCUAAGUACGAGUACGAUUGAGCAGAAAAAUCAAACAUCAUUGUUUAUUGAACAGUACAUUUAAUAUUUGAAUUAGGCUUACUUUAAGGAAGUACAGUAAUUAGAUUUCAAUAGAAAAUUAUAACAAGAAAGUAUCUUUUUUGCAUGCCGAGCACACAGUUUGAAAGAUUGUUUGUAAAACCGGAGGGAGAGCAUGUUACUUAGGCAGUGACGUUAUUUUUAUUGCUUUGUAGGCGGUUUAAGAUUCGACAUUUUUUUUUUUUUUAAUUAUUAUUCACAUUGUUCUUAUUAAGCACCGGGACCCUUACAUCUACGCAAAUUUAAUCCAGUGCAUGUAGAGUGAAUUCCUCUACACUGUAUAUACUUUUUUUGUUUCUUCUUUUAAACUGAAUUUCGUAGAGUAAUUUUAUUAGGAGAUAAUGAUUGGUCACCGUAGUUUAUGAAAUAACAGUCAUAGGCCUAUCUUUGUCUCAGUCUACUUGCGGUCUGAUGCACCUACAUCAUUAUAUAUAUAUAUAUAUAUAAGAUUAUAAAAUACUAGGAGUGGAUCUAAUGGACACAUGAUAUACAUAAUUUGUAUAUUCGAUUUUAGAUCUAAAUUCUGUUUUACUAUAUCACAGUGAAAUGUGGGAAUGAAUGCUAAUAAUAAUAAUAGUGUAGUUUUAUAUAGCGCACAAAUCCAUCUAAUGUAAGAUGCUGAGGGCGCUUAAAAUGUGGACUAGUGACUCGAUCAAUGACUUUCUUCGCCCCUAAGGGUCCCUUCGUGUCUGUGCUACCCGGUAACCCGGUACCAGCAACUCUCGUCGUCCACCACAGGGGCUGUCUGUUCCCGCAAGAGUAGGGCGCCAGCGCUUCAGAUAGGCCAAUGUAAACACUGAAAGGUGUCUAUGGGGAAAAUAUUUAUUUUAAACGUAAAUGAAUAUUUAGAUGCACUCUAAUUUAUAAUUUAUCGUUUUGUACAAUGUAUUAUUUGGGUCAGCAUGACA